rnacentral:rRNA from 2 species
ACCCCUUGAAGACUACGAGGUAGAUAGGAAUGAGGUGUAAGCACAGCAAUGUGUUCAGCUGACAUUUACUAAUCGGUCGAGGGCUUGACCAAA